rnacentral:rRNA from 1 species
AUUGAACGCUGGCGGCAUGCCUUACACAUGCAAGUCGAACGGCAGCACGGGAGCAAUCCUGGUGGCGAGUGGCGAACGGGUGAGUAAUAUAUCGGAACGUGCCCAGUCGUGGGGGAUAACGUAGCGAAAGCUACGCUAAUACCGCAUACGAUCUAUGGAUGAAAGCGGGGGAUCGCAAGACCUCGCGCGAUUGGAGCGGCCGAUAUCAGAUUAGGUAGUUGGUGAGGUAAAGGCUCACCAAGCCGACGAUCUGUAGCUGGUCUGAGAGGACGACCAGCCACACUGGGACUGAGACACGGCCCCAGACUCCUACGGGAGGCAGCAGUGGGGAAUUUUGGACAAUGGGCGCAAGCCUGAUCCAGCAAUGCCGCGUGCAGGAUGAAGGCCUUCGGGUUGUAAACUGCUUUGUACGGAACGAAACGGUGAGCUCUAAUACAGUUUGCUAAUGACGGUACCGUAAGAAUAAGCACCGGCUAACUACGUG